CUAUCAGGUAGUUGGUGGGGUAAAGGCCUACCAAGCCUGCGACGGGUAGCCGGACUGAGAGGUCGACCGGCCACACUGGAACUGAGACACGGUCCAGACUCCUACGGGAGGCAGCAGUGGGGAAUAUUGCACAAUGGGGGAAACCCUGAUGCAGCGACGCCGCGUGGAGGAUGACGGCCUUCGGGUUGUAAACUCCUUUUGUCAGGGACAAUGGUGAUGGUACCUGACGAAUAAGCCACGGCUAACUCUGUGCCAGCAGCCGCGGUAAGACAGAGGUGGCGAGCGUUGUUCGGAAUUACUGGGCUUAAAGGGCGCGUAGGCGGUGGUGUAAGUCUGGGGUGGAAUGCUACAGCUCAACUGUAGAGCUGCCUUGGAAACUGCACUACUUGAGUCGGUGAGGGGAAGGCGGAAUUCCUGGUGUAGCGGUGAAAUGCGUAGAUAUCAGGAGGAAGGUCUGUGGCGAAGGCGGCCUUCUGGCACUUGACUGACGCUGAGGCGCGAAAGCGUGGGGAGCAAACAGGAUUAGAUACCCUGGUAGUCCACGCCCUAAACGGUGGGUAUUAGGUGUGGGGCCUUCAUGGGUUCCGUGCCGUAGCGAAAGCA
rnacentral:rRNA from 1 species